rnacentral:rRNA from 1 species
UCCAGAGGGUGCAAGCGUUGUUCGGAAUUAUUGGGCGUAAAGGGCGCGUAGGCGGUGCCACAAGUCACCUGUGAAAUCUCCGGGCUUAACUCGGAGCCUGCAGGCGAAACUGUGGUGCUGGAGUGUGGGAGAGGUGCGUGGAAUUCCCGGUGUAGCGGUGAAAUUCGUAGAUAUUGGGAGGAACACCUGUGGCGAAAGCGGCUCACUGGACCACAACUGACGCUGAGGCGCGAAAGCUAGGGGAGCAAACAGG